UUGUAUUACAACCUCUAAAACAUCCAGCGUAGUACAGUUUUUACGUUGUUUUCAACAUUUUGAGACUAUAUAAGCUACGCCCCAAUAGUUGGUCUUCACUCGACGUUUUAACGCAGAGUCCUUCUAUAACAAGUAACUGAAGUAUCCGAGAUGGAAUCAGUUCGCCAGUUUCUCUACCAGGCUGCAACAUUGGCUAUGGUAGCCAUGCUCCAGAUGGCGUUUGCUCAAUACCAGCCCGAUCAAAACGGCGAAUUCUUAUACGGCAAUUACAGAUACCUCAACGGAUACCGUUACUAAGAUUCAACGAUUGUUUUUGGGCCAGUGAUGUAUGAACGUACGGCAAUGGAAACUAGUCAGCAAAAAGAAAAUAGCUUGUCAACAUCGUAUUUAUAGUAACAGUGUUGGUGGCCAAAACAUUUGUUGCAUAUUAAUUAUUCAGAGGUCAAUAAAUAAUCGUUGUUUCUAUUA